AGGCCCCUCCUUCCCAGCCACAGCUCCUGCUCGCCCCUGCCACGUCAAAAGAGGCAGAAGGGGAGUCGGAGCAGAAAGGGGACCC
ensembl:miRNA bta-mir-3154 bta-mir-3154